rnacentral:tRNA from 1 species
GAGAGUAUAGCUCAAGUGGUAGAGUGCAUGCUUAGCAUGCAUGAGGUCCUGGGUUCAAUCCCCAGUUCCUCCU